GUGGGGAAUAUUGGACAAUGGGCGAAAGCCUGAUCCAGCCAUGCCGCGUGUGUGAAGAAGGUCUUCGGAUUGUAAAGCACUUUAAGUUGGGAGGAAGGGCAUUAACCUAAUACGUUAGUGUUUUGACGUUACCGACAGAAUAAGCACCGGCUAACUUCGUGCCAGCAGCCGCGGUAAUACGAAGGGUGCAAGCGUUAAUCGGAAUUACUGGGCGUAAAGCGCGCGUAGGUGGUUCGUUAAGUUGGAUGUUAAAGCCCCGGGCUCAACCUAGGAACUGCAUCCAAAACUGGCGAGAUAGAGUACGGUAGAGGGUGGUGGAAUUUCCUGUGUAGCAGUGAAAUGCGUAGAUAUAGGAAGGAACACCAGUGGCGAAGGCGACCACCUGGACUGAUACUGACACUGAGGUGCGAAAGCGUGGGGAGCAAACAGGAUUAGAUACCCGUGUAGUCC
rnacentral:rRNA from 1 species